rnacentral:rRNA from 1 species
UUAAGCAUAUCAAUAAGCGGAGGAAAAGAAACUAACAAGGAUUCCCCUAGUAACUGCGAGUGAAGCGGGAAAAGCUCAAAUUUAAAAUCUGGCGGUCUUUGGCUGUCCGAGUUGUAGUCUGGAGAAGCGUUUUCCGCGCUGGACCGUGUACAAGUCCCUUGGAAUAGGGCGUCAUAGAGGGUGAGAAUCCCGUCUUUGACACGGACUACCAGUGCUUUGUGAUGCGCUCUCAAAGAGUCGAGUUGUUUGGGAAUGCAGCUCAAAAUGGGUGGUAAAUUCCAUCUAAAGCUAAAUAUUGGCGAGAGACCGAUAGCGAACAAGUACCGUGAGGGAAAGAUGAAAAGCACUUUGGAAAGAGAGUUAAACAGUACGUGAAAUUGCUGAAAGGGAAACGAUUGAAGUCAGUCGCGUUGUACAGAACUCAGCCUGGCUUUUGCUUGGUGUAUUUUCUGUAUGACGGGCCAGCAUCAAUUUUGGCCGCUGGAAAAAGGCUUCAGAAAUGUGGCACCUUCGGGUGUGUUAUAGUCUGAGGUCAUAUACAGCGGCUGGGAUUGAGGUCUGCAGCACGCCUUUAUGGCUGGGGUUCGCCCACAUUCGUGCUUAGGAUGCUGGCGUAAUGGCUUUAAACGACCCGUCUUGAAACACGGACCAAGGAGUCUAACAUGCCUGCGAGUGUUUGGGUGGAAAACCCGAGCGCGCAAUGAAAGUGAAAGUUGAGAUCCCUGUCGUGGGGAGCAUCGACGCCCGGACCAGACCUUUUGUGACGGAUCUGCGGUAGAGCAUGUAUGUUGGGACCCGAAAGAUGGUGAACUAUGCCUGAAUAGGGUGAAGCCAGAGGAAACUCUGGUGGAGGCUCGUAGCGAUUCUGACGUGCAAAUCGAUCGUCAAAUUUGGGUAUAGGGGCGAAAGACUA